rnacentral:rRNA from 1 species
AUUGAACGCUGGCGGCGUGCUUAACACAUGCAAGUCGAACGAGAACGGGUUAUAGCUUGCUAUAAUUGUCAGCUAAGUGGCGCACGGGUGAGUAAUGUAUAGGUAAUAUGCCUCUUACUAAGGGAUAACAAAUGGAAACGUUUGCUAAUACCUUAUACUCCUUAUUAACAGAAGUUAACAAGGGAAAGAUUUAUUGGUAAGAGAUUAGCCUGUAUUGUAUCAGUUAGUUGGUGGGGUAAUGGCUUACCAAGACUAUGACACAUAACUGGUUUGAGAGGAUGAUCAGUCACACUGGAACUGAGACACGGUCCAGACUCCUACGGGAGGCAGCAGUGGGGAAUAUUGCACAAUGGACGAAAGUCUGAUGCAGCAACGCCGCGUGGAGGAUGACACAUUUCGGUGCGUAAACUCCUUUUAUAUGAGAAGAUAAUGACGGUAUUAUAUGAAUAAGCACCGGCUAACUCCGUGCCAGCCGCCGCAGUAACAC